rnacentral:rRNA from 1 species
AUUGAACGCUGGCGGCAGGCCUAACACAUGCAAGUCGAGCGGGGUUUUCGGACCUAGCGGCGGACGGGUGAGUAAUGCGUAGGAAGCUGCCCGAUAGAGGGGGAUACCAGUUGGAAACGACUGUUAAUACCGCAUAAUGUCUACGGACCAAAGUGUGGGACCUUCGGGCCACAUGCUAUCGGAUGCGCCUACGUGGGAUUAGCUAGUUGGUGAGGUAAUGGCUCACCAAGGCGACGAUCUCUAGCUGGUUUGAGAGGAUGAUCAGCCACACUGGAACUGAGACACGGUCCAGACUCCUACGGGAGGCAGCAGUGGGGAAUAUUGGACAAUGGGCGAAAGCCUGAUCCAGCCAUGCCGCGUGUGUGAAGAAGGUCUUCGGAUUGUAAAGCACUUUAAGUUGGGAGGAAGGGCGCUCGGUGAAUACCCAGGCGUCUUGACGUUACCGACAGAAUAAGCACCGGCUAACUUCGUGCCAGCAGCCGCGGUAACAC